rnacentral:lncRNA from 1 species
AAUUACAAGAGAAGAAUGUAUGAUUAAUGGUUAACCAAGCUCUAAAAUUAUUCAAAAAGGCUAAAAACGGUUGUUCACGUGUUCCUCUAAACAACAGAUGACCCAAAAUCUGAAAAAGAACUAUUUAUACACAGCUAAAUUUUUUGGACAAAAAUUUCCCCUACGGAGGUUCAGUUGAUAGCGGAAAAUGGAUCGCUACAGCGCUAUAACUACCGCGGCCGCGCAAAAUCAAGCGCGGACCACGGUCUUCAGAUUUUAGCUCCACUUAUGGUUCUCUGAAUUUGGCUUCCGCUGAGGGCGGUAACUUUACCGCGGCCGCGCAAAAGCUACUGCUACCGCGCAAUUUCACCGCGGGCACCGGUAACUUGUUAAGAACAAAAUACAGCUCUCUGAACUUUUCCACCGCUGAGAGCGUAAACAAGACCGCCUCAGCGGUGGACCCUCCGUGUCCGCGCCUAUUUUUUCGCUGUCAGCACUCUUUGUGACUCAUCUUUGAACUUGUGCAGGUUUCACUACUUUAUGAGCUGGUUUUGACUUUCUUGUCUUUUUUUGACCAAACACUGCAAACAAGCACAAUAAGUUAGCUUUCGGGAAUACUUGUACACACUUUUAAUCCAAUACUUAAGCAAAAAGGAGCACAAAAUAGACUAGAAUCCCUAAUUAUCAACUCCCCCAAACUUAAGCUUUUGCUUGUCCUUAAGCAAACACAGUAACUCCCACCUCCUUAAGAUUAAAGAAAGGAAAAUUUCAAUUGUCCUAAAGUAACCUCAUCAAGAAUCAAUUAGGACUAACAAUUAUCCUCAACCCAAAUGCAUUAUUAAUAAUAAACAACCUUUUUUAGCACCAUGGCUAUAGUGCGACACAAAAGAAACAAGAGUUGACUCAACUCAUCAAGGAAACUCUUUCUAUUACAUUGGUCGUUGUGGAACCCAAACUCAUACUCUUCAACUCUCCAUAAGCAAACCUCACUUUUAGAUUGUAGCACUCAGAAUGAGGAUUGUGGAAAACACACUCAUCUCUCUCAAAGGAAGGUCACAAGUCCGGCUCUAAGUACCAUAAGCUUGCCCCUUAUGUGAGUCACCACGAAUGUAAGCUCACUCAACUCAAGAUCAUAUAGGGCUUUUGCGGGCAUGUAAUGAAGGCUUUUGGUUUAGGGUAGGAUAUAUUGGUCUAAGAAGGUUUUAUCUUUCCUUAAGCACUAUAUUUGCUUCAUUUUGGCACACAUUCUUGACUCUUUGAGUCAAUUACUUCUUCCUUAAGGGCUAGAGAGACACAUUGUCACUCUUUCUUGUUCAUUUCAAUCCUUUUUCUCCUUUCUAAUCUUUCUAUGCCUUUCAUCUUUUGCUUUUAUUGAAUCCCUUCAUUUCUUCUACAUUGUUCACUUUCUUUUUAAUUUUUUGGCUUUUCUUUCUUUUUCUUUUUGCCUUUCUCUUUCUUCAUUUUGUACCUUUUAUCACUUUUGCAUUCCUCGUCUCUCCCCCCAAACUUAUGAUUUUGCCUUGUACUAAGGAAAGAUCGGGUGCCAAGAGAGGAUCAUUUUAGAAUUGAUAAAGGCUUGUAUCAUGGUUAUUGAAAGAAUAAGGGCUAUGGUUCAACGGGGUUGACUAGGGAUAUCAUUCUUGGUAGGCUAUGGAUGUUUUCAAGCUACAAUUUGGAUCAAGAAGAGCCUAUAAUCACUUCUCAAGUCGAUCUACACUUAGGAUUUCGCCUAGACAAACAUUUAGGGCAAGUUCUAGACCCAUUGGCAUGGGACUUGGAUUUGCAAAUCAAUACCUCACCACACAAGCUAUAGGAUUUCUAAAGAGACGGAGGCGGGGGCCCACAACAACCUUAGCUAAGAUUUUAGCAACACAAAUGGUAUCGAGAACCCACUCGAUGAUUGUUUAGUCAACACAAUAGUUUCAAGGUCAAAACUAUCACCAUCCUAUACACACUAAUUAUUUUUAACCAUAAGGUCAAAGGUAAAUGUGUUAGGCCCAAGUGAAGCUUUGCCUAAGGCACUACUGCUCACUAACUACUAUUUACACAAAAAUGAAAAGAAAAACAAACUCAAACCCUUAAGAAGGUUGUCAUGCCAUCCAUCAUCGGGAAGAUCCACCCGGUUCACACAAACUCCACCUUUGGAAAGAACUGUGGCAUUAAGAAAACCAAAGGCUUAUUGGUCACAAAAACUUGUAAAACAAGAAGCUAUGAACCGAAGAAGAAGCUACUAAAUGAAAUAAGAAGCUAUACUAUUAAGGAAAAUUGCAAAAGAAGUUAUGAAGUAAAAUGCGGAAAGUAAACUAAAUAUGUACAAUAGGGUAUUUAGACGAAUAUAAAUAAGAGGAAAUGAAUAUAUACAUGAGAGAGUAAUAGAUAUAGACCAAGAUUGAAAAAUAACAAAAAGUGAAAUAAAUGGUAAAGUUAUAUACAUACCAAAAGUUAAAAAUAAGCAUAAAGAAAAAAUAGUAUCAUCAUUACAACCAAACUAUCAAAUCAUCAAAUCAAAAUAGGACCACCCCCUCAAAUGAAAACUAGCAUUGUCCUCAAUGCUAAAUAACCAAAAAUAAGAUCAAAAAGGGGUUAAAGAGUAAAGAAAAAUCCCUAUGGGUGCUCUGUCUGCAUGGAGUCCUGUGGUUGGGUGCCUGGAUCACCUGGCUCAAGGUCCUGUGGCUGGCCUGAGGCACCUCUCUCAAGGUCCUUCAGCUCAAUCUCGACAUCAUCAACCCGGGGCAUCACUUUCCUCCUCCUAGGCUCUCCCUCAGUCUCUUGCUCUUGAACCUGCUCUAUCUGAGCUGCUGGAAGUUGGUCCCGUGAUAGUAGCUCCAAUGGUAGGUCACCAGCUGGCUUUAUCUUCUCCACCUCUCCCCUCAAUUGCUUCACCGACUCCUUUAAGGCCCGAGUCUUUUUCAGCUUCUUUGUCUACUUGCUCAGCUCCUUAAUUGAUCUUCCUUGAAUUGCAAGAGCAUACAUGAUAAGCUUUUGGUUGUCCAAGAGCAUCUUCUGGUUGUCCAGAAACUCCUUGAGGGACUCCUCUACUGAAGCUGGCACCUGGGGCUGUGUGGGAACUGACUGGGCUGCCACUAAACUAGAUAGCACAGACAGGUUAGAAGUUGUUGCCUGCAUCCAGUUGUUGAUACUGGAGAAUGUUUGGUUCAACCUGUAAGCAGUCAACGGGUAUGCUGAGGAGGAGGGCACUGAGGACGGCAUAGAAGUAGAUAGUCCGAAGGCAAGAUCUGGUAUGGUAGUGGGAGACUGUGAAAUAGUGACUAUCACUACUGGCUCUUCAGAUUGGCCAGUAAAAGCAGUAGUUUUGCCCUUGGAUCCCUUGAAUUAAGGGUUUCCUGGACCCUGAAGGUUGUACCAUGAGAAGGGCUUCUUGGGCUUUACCGUGAUAUCGAAAUGUCUUUUUUUCUACCUCCUGAUCUUCCAAGUACAUGGUGAGGAAAUUCAGGAAGGGGUAAGAUCUAUCACUACAAUCGAGUGGGCGGGUCGUGAAUAGCCGCCACUACAAUCGCCCGGGAAACCGGUAUGGUGUUGUCGUGAAUAGUGAUGCCAACCAUGGGCGGGUCGCCUCAUCCAUCGCCACCUUCUCUAAGUACAGCGACUCAUCUUCAUCAUUGAAUCCAAAAUAAUCAUUUAGAGUCGUCCCAUCAAACUUGACCUUCAAGUUCCGCACCUUAGUCACUUUUGUGCCUUUUUUGAUGUGAGAGGCAUUGGCAUAGAAUUCCUUGACUAGGUGCUCAUUAGCAUCCGGCACCUUGCUAGUGAAGUACUCCUAUCCCACUAUUUCAUUGAAGUGCUGCUUCACAUUAGGGUUGUGGAGCAGAAGAUCCCGCUCUAUGAACUGAUGCUCAUGUAUGAGUGAUUUUUUAGGCCACCACUCCCUGAACUUGUGAUAUGCUAGCUCACUGACAAAUCUUUGUUGCCAAACCUCUGGGUUUCUUGUCCUCUCCACACCUACGGUCUGCGUAUCACCCCCUCUCCCAUUAUCCGGUACCUCGACAUCUACAUCUAUGAGACCCUGUGCCGGUGACGAAGCUAUGAGUAAGGCUGAAGUUGAGGACUCACUAUCACACCUCCUUUUUCCCAUAGGGAAUAGGGAGUUUUUCCAAUUAAACGGGAUUAUUUAUAUUCAAUUUAGAGUCGUCACUUGGGAUAAUUUAUGGUGUCCCAAGUCACCAGUUUAAAAUUCCUAAUCGAGGAAGUUUGACUAUGUUUUACAAUCCGCGAAACACAGAAAUCCGGGUAAGGAAUUCUGUUAACCCAGGAGAAGGUGUUAGGCAUUCCCGGGUUCUAUGGUUUUUGCACAGUCGCUCAACUGUUAAUAUUGGCCUAAUUAUCUGAUUUGUUACACAUUUUAAACCUACGUGCAUUUGUAACUUUCUAACCGCUUUUAAUGUUUAUAGAAUUAUUUUCUGGAACAAGUCACAAUUGUCGUACAUUUGUCAUUUUGGUACACAUUGCAAACCGCGUCACAUGAAAUGCACCCGUGAUUGACAACAUGUUUAUUUUAUUAUUGUUCGAAGUUAUGGUCGGGUUACAUAAAAUGCACACCCAAAUUGUGAUUUAUGUAUCGCGGCCAUGCCACGGGAAUCGUACUCAUGGCCACGAUGAUUUAUUAAUCGCGCAUGAAGCAAACUACGCCGUUCAUAGUUAUCAUCCUAAACCAAUUUGGGAUUGUUGUAAGCCCGGGAUUUAUGGAAUUAUGGAGUUUAAACUUGGACGAAAUUUGAUGUAUUAAGACUAAUUUAAUAGAUUCCAACGUACUGCGGUAUUUAUGAAGGAAAGGUCUCCGAAAGAGUCCAAGUCAAUUACUUCAUAAAGCUCUUUAUUUACUAAAACUUAACUCCAAUCACUAAAAUUAAUAUAACCCAUAAGUUAAAAGAAGUCCAUCAACAUAAAUAUGUAAUUCACAGCCUCAAACAUUAGUUAAAGUAUUUUUGGGAUAAAUUAAAAUACUAAAAAGAAUAAUGAAACAGAAAGGAAAAUUAUUACAAAAUCAAGACAACGGACCAACCAAAAAACGAGCAUUUCACUAAAAUAACAAUACAACCCAACGUAGUAUGAAACAUAUUCAACGUAGUAUGGAACAAAACCUGGGAUCACUCAGAAACCCACACUUAUUUGUAUUAGGCAAGUUAAAUCAACAGUUUAUUUCAAUUAAUUUUAUGUAGAAUAUGAAGGCGUGAAACAUCAUCUCAGAAUGACCAUAAUUCCAAGCGUGAAAGAAAAGGGAAGAAAGAGAUGAACCUGAAAUUACAGCUUUUACUUUCGGCUUUGAAUAUACAAUAAGAAAUACAGUGCCAAAAUUCGUGCGUCCAGUAGAAAACAAACAAAACAGCGAUAAAAAUGGAUUUGGAACCACAAUCAAGAACCUCACGAGCAGUCGACGUACCUCAACCAAAAAUCUUCUCUUGAUUUUGGUUGUUCCCCUUUUUCCUCUUUUCUGUUUUGAUUUCAAUUUCCUCCCCCUCUGUCUCUCUGUUACUGUUACUCUCUAUUCUUCUUUUGUUUUCUUUUUAAUUGUCAUGUCUUUUGGUCUUUGUUUUGUGCAGGUUAUGGUUGUCUAGGUUUGUCAUUCUCUCUAUGCAAAGAGAUGAGUGGUCCGAUUUUUAUAUGGGGUAGAGGGUUCUGCCGUUCUGCUCUUUUUUCUUAGGUCCCCUAUCCAAGACAAAGAGAUAGGGACUUUAAGGGGAAGAUAUCUUAUGUCUUAGGGUUAGGUUAGUGGGUCAAUUGGGCCAUGGGGUAAUGGUGUAGGGUUGUCCGAAAUUGGGCCUUUC